rnacentral:rRNA from 1 species
UACAGAGACUGCAAGCGUUAUUCGGAUUCACUGGGCGUAAAGGGUGCGCAGGCGGCCGGGUGUGUCAGAUGUGAAAUCCCGAGGCUCAACCUCGGAACUGCGUCUGAAACUACUCGGCUAGAGUAUUGGAGAGGGUAACGGAAUUCACGGUGUAGCAGUGAAAUGCGUAGAUAUCGUGAGGAACACCAGAGGCGAAGGCGGUUACCUGGACAAUUACUGACGCUCAGGCACGAAAGCGUGGGGAGCAAAAGGG